GAUGCACCUUUCCGUAAUGUCUCCCUUCAUCGCUCCCGUAGAAAAACAACUCCAAUCAUACUGUAAUUAAGCGUUUGGGGGACUCGUUUUAAGUGGUGGAAUCAAGUUAUAAUAUCCCUCGAUUUCUUUCGUUCAUGGGUUCGGUGUAUAAGACGCACCUUUUCGUAAUGUCUCCCUUCAUCGCUCCCGUAGAAAAACAACUCCAAUCAUACUGUAAUUAAGCGUUUGGGGUCUCAUUUUAAGCGGUGGAAUUAGAUUAAAGUUUCCUCGGUUAAUUCCUUUGUUUGGAUCCGGUUUAUAAGAUUCACCUUUUCGUAAUGUCUCCCUUCAUCGCUCCCGUAGAAAAACAACUCCAAUCGUACUGUAAUUAAGCCGUUUGGGGGUCUCGUUUUAAGUGGUGGAAUCAAGUUAUAAUAUCCCUCGGUUUCCUUCGUUUCUUUCGGUUUAUAGACGCACCUAUUCGCAAUGUCCCCCUUCGUCGCUCCCGUAGAAAAACAACUCCAAUCGUACUGUAAUUUAGCGUUUCGGAGUCCCAUUACGUGGUGGAAUUGGGUUAAACUUUCCUCGGUUAAUAUAUUUCGUGUAUUUGGCUUUACGCAACGGACCCCUUCGCAAUGCUUCCCUUCGUCACUCCCAUGAAAAAUGAGAAUAAUCGUAAAGAAGUACUGUAAUUUAGCGUUUUGGAGUCCCAUUACGUGGUGGAAUUGGGUUAAACUUUCCUCGGUUCAUAUAUUUCGAUUUCGGUUUUACACAAUGGACCUCUUCGCAAUGUUUAGCCUCGUGGUCCCUUCGUGGCGUUUUGGAGUCUCAUUACGUGGUGGAAUCAGGUUAAACUUUCCUCGGUUAAUAUAUGUCGUGUAUUCGGUUUUACACAACGGACCUCUUCGCAAUGUUUAGCCUCGUGGUCCCUUCGUGCGUGUCGGGCAUUGUAGGGCGUGAGGAUCUCUAUAAGUGUCCACCAAACCCUGGCGUAUUCUGAUGCUUCUUCCAUUACCGCUGUCCACGCGACUGAUGAGCCCAGGUAUAUAGUCUUAAAUCAGAAUAUUCUAGGGCUUAGCAAGGGUUAUCAGCUCCCUCAGGCCCUCCAAUACCCUCCCUUCCCGCCAUUUUGUAUGUUAGCGUGUGUAGCUGGAAGCCGCGCGGUAUCAUCACAGUCAUCAGCUUAAGAUCAUGACAACUCUUUCCAACGGCGCACUAAUCCAGACCCGAGUUUGGCUUAUAUGAAAAGUAGCGAUGAUUAAGAAAGGCAUCAUUACCAUCAUCAGCUGUAAUACAUGACAAGUCUUUCCAACGGCGCACUAAUCAAGACUCAACUUUGGCUUAUAUGAAAGGUAGCGAUGAUUAAGAAAGGCGUCAUUAUCAUCAUCAGCUGUAAUACCAUGACUCGUAACUCUUUCCAACGGCGCAAUAGAAGACUUACAAACAUGGCUUAUAGAGGAUAAAUAAACAAUAAUAUGGUGUUAGGUAAUAAAGAAAAGUAUCAUUGCCAUCAUCAGCCAUAACACCAUGACUUUUCACUCUUUACAACAGUGCAAUACAGAAGACAUUCGAAACAUGGCAUAUAUAGAAAAGACUUUAUAUACAAACGUUACAUGUAUAGAAGAAAAGAACUAAUCUUAUAGCGUUAGAUAAUACGGAAAAACAAACAAAACAAUCUCACUCUUUCCAACAGCGCAAUACAGAAGACAUUCGAAACAUGGUAUAUAUAGAAAAGACUUUAUAUACAAACGUUACAUGUAUAGAAGAAAAGAACUGAUUAUAUGGCGUUAGAUAAUAAAGAAAAAUAAACAAAACAAUCACUCUUUCCAACAGCGCAAUACAGAAAACUAUUUUGAAACAUGGCGUGUAUAGAGGAAAAGACUUUAUACACAAACGUUACAUGUAUAGAAGAAAAGAACUGAUGAUAUGGCGUUAGAUAAUACAGGAAAACAAACAUAACAAUCUCACUCUUUUCAACGGCGCAAUACAGAAAGCUAUUUGAAACAUGGCGUGUAUAGCAAAGACUUCAUAUACAAACGUGGCAUAUAUUGAGAACCACAGACGAUAUGGCGUUAGAUAAUAAAUAGGAAAAUAAACAUAAUAAAUAUAAAAAUAAACAUAACAAUCUCUCUCUUUCCAACGGCGCAAUACAGAAGACUUUCAAAACAUGGCGUGUGUAGUGGAAAAUACUUUUUAUACAAACGUGGCAUAUAUGGAGAAGCACGGAAGAUAUGGUGUUAGUUAAUACAGAAAAACAAACAACAAUCUCACUCUUUCCAACGGCGCAAUACAGAAAACCAAUUUGAAACAUGGCGUGCGUUUAGCAAAGACUUUAUAUACAAACGUUGCAUAUAUGGAGAAGCACCGACGAUAUGGCGUUAAAUAAUAAAGAAAAACAAACCUAGUGAGAGCUACGGGUGUUCUCUCGUACGCCGACACAGUGUGAUAAAGAUAUACGGUACAGCAAAGGACUGACCCACCAUUUCCAGCAGCCGUAAGGAUCGCAUGUCAUAGGGCCAGUUUCACAGUCCCCCCAUGACGGGUUAGUAAGCUCCCAAACCAAUACCAGAGCCUUCGAAAUUUCCUUGUAUAGUGUCUGGUGUUUAUGUUUAAGUCCACAAAUUUGAUGAAACUCUACAGGAAAAGUCUUGUGUAUUUAGUGUGGCAUCGAAGCCCUCACCAUUUUGGAUUGUACGGGAUUCUGUAGUUUGGUUCGGGCUGUUACGAAGACACUGUGUUGGACUGUGAAAUCGGCUCAUAGAUUUUAAAGGUAUACAGUUUAGUCAUACUUAUUCCCUCGGACUCUUAAUCAAUACAACCAUAAGCGACCUUUAGUAUUAUUAGCCUUGGUAUCAUUACUACUAGAGCGAGUUAACUUUUUAUCAAUUAACAAGUACUACUAUAUUACUGUUGUAUUUUAAAUUAUAUAUAUACUACUACUACUACUAUUACUGCUACUAUAAUUAUCAUGAGGAGGAUAAUACUGGAUUUUAAGGCAUUUUAUCAACCUGUUGUUUAGGAUUAACGCACAGCAACCGACUCUAACCUCUGUGAUCCCUUACGAGUAGUCCCAAUCUUCCUUGCACUUCGCCUCCCAAGUCUUGUCGGUGGUGGUGGCGAGGGUACGGAAUAGCUCUAUCUUGCCCUCUGACACCACAAGACUGACUGACCCUUUGGACACACACACACUCAUAAACGCUUUGAUUUUUUAUGAUUACGACUAUUUCCGAGGCUAUGAAGAUGAGGCAUGGUAUCGUAGGUGUCUGUCUGUCAUGGUCGUAUCGGAGAGGUCUCGUCAAACCGUCACUCGGGUCGUGAAAUCACUUAAACCGGAACAAUAAGAUUAAUAGUAGUGGUUUUAAGCUUUUAUUUCUCCUUUUUUUAUGCCCUUAAGUUGCCACCUGUUAUAAGGGAAUGCAAGUAAGAUGGUAUUGAAGUGUUUAUGUGUUUGUUUAUGUGUGUGUGUGUGUCCACCUCUCAACCCCCGAUAAUCGCAUCCUCUUUACAAAUCCACGUUUCGGUUCUGCCCGCUUUCUCUUACGCGGACGGACCUGUAUAGCGACGUACAAUGACUCGCAGUGAUGUGUCGUUCCCCCUAGCCACGUAAGCAAGCACCUGGGAAUAUUCUUUGUGUCUACGGCGCGCAGUCUGCCACGAGGAUCAAGUCUCUCCCUGUUGAUGUCGAACCCAAACCCAGGCACUUCAAACUACCCCUUACGUAAGAUUAAGAGGUUUUUAGAUGGUAUUACGCUCUGUCGAGUCGGAUUAUGAACGUAAAUUUUCGAGCAGGGAGAGUGGGAGGCUGUUACAUGCGUUCAGUGCCGCGAGGUCACCCCACACUGGGCUGACCUCGACCUGGCUUCAGCACAAUUCACUCUGGUUUCGUAGGCUUAGGUCAUACACCGUACAUACAAUAUUCGCUGUCAGAGAGUUAUAUAUAAGCGCUACAAUGUGUCUAGAGUUCUCAUACAUACUUAACUUACGUAUACUAAGCUCUCCACCCCUUUGGUCAUCCUUACUUAGCUUCAUAUUUUGCUACUUCAGUAUUUGGUGUUUGUUCGGUGUUUUAGCUAACAUGGGAUUGGUUCUCGCAGCGCCCGGGACCUUAUUACGUAAAGUUAGUGUGUGUGUUAGUUUGCGCCUUCCUAGUCUUGGUAACGCGUAAAAUUAAGCCGUGUAGCGCUGCCUCCAUGUACGCCGUUUAGUGGUGAUCGGGGCGCAUGUGUACCGACGUAUUGGCAGCGUGUUCGUAAUCGCAACUCGAAAUCCAAGGCUGAGAUAGCGGCGCCGAGAGCAUAAUUCUGGAUGAACGGAUGACGGAGAAAACUCCCCUUUGAUUAUUAUGCAAUUUACGGAGACGGAGGCGGCGUGCGAGGCAUUCGUUGUCGUGUUAUGAUCUUGGUUAUCGCGGCGCCGGUUGUGGAGUUUAGGUGGAAUCUGAAUGUCAUGUGUUUUUGGGUUUAUUUUUUCUGUUUCGCCCAAAUUUGGUCGUGUGUAUAAACGUCCUCGGUGGAGAGAAGAGAGACAGAGAUUGAUAAGAAAGAGAAGAGCAAGAGAGAGAGAGAGAGAGAGAGAGAGAGAGAGGGGGGAAGGCAGUUUUUGAGUGCAUAUAAGAAGUAUUUUGUGUGAUUUUUAUACUGAAUCGAUGGAGUUUUUUGCAUUACGUUUUAUGAGUAUUUCGAGGUAGAAUUCGACAAGAGAGAGAGGAAGAGAGACAGAGAGAGAGAGUUUUUGAGUGCAUAUAAGAAGUAUUUUGUGUGAUUUUUAUACUGAAUCGAUGGAGCUUUUUGCAUUACGUUUUAUGAGUAUUUCGAGGUAGAAUUCGACAAGAGAGAGGAAGAGAGACAGAGAGAGAGGCAGUUUUUGAGUGCAUAUAAGAAGUAUUUUUUGUGAUUUUUAUACUGAACCGAUGGAGUUUUUUGCUCUCUUAACAGACUCGCACUACAUUUUAUGAGUAUUACGAGAUAGCCUAGAAUUCGACAAGAGAGAGAGAGAGAGAGAGAGAGAGAGAGAGAGAGAGAGAGAGAGAGAGGCAGUGUGUGUCUAUAAGAAGUAUUUAAUGAGAUUUUUAUACUGAAUUGAAAGUCUUUUGCCGUACUGAAUAGGAAUAGCAAGGUGCAGGGUGAACAUACGACAGUAAAAUUUCUCUAAUGUGUCGGAAGCUUUUUGCCACGUUGAAUAGGAAUAGUGAGGUGUAGGCUGGACGCUAGACAGUUAAGAUUUCUGUUACGUGUCGGAAGAUUUUGUUGCAUUGAAUAUAAAUGGCAAGGUUUUUAUGCUUAUUCAACCAAGGUGUCUGAGGCAAAGGGCUGUACGUAGCGGAGAAAGCAAUGCAGGUAGAGUUUUUUAGCGAGUUUUUUGUCACGUUGAAUAUAAAUGGCAAGGUUUUUAUGCUUAUUCAACCAAGGUGUGUGGGGCAAAGUGCUGUACAAUGAGGAGAAAGCAAUGCAGGUAGAGUUUUUUAGUGAGUUUUUUGUCACGUUGAAUAUAAAUAGCAAGGUUUUUAUGCUUAUUCAACCAAGGUAUGUGAGGCAAAGUGCUGUACAAUGAGGAGAAAGCAAUGCAGGUAAAGGUUUUUAGCGAGUUUUUUGUCACAUUGAAUAUAAAUAGCAACUUUUUAUGCUUAUUCAACCAAGGUGUCUGAGGCAAAGGGCUGUACAUAGCAGAGAAGCAAUGCAGGUAGAGCUCUUUAGCGAGUUGAAAGUUUUACAUCAAGUUCAAAUAUGCAUAGUAAGGGUUCUGUGCGCUUCCCUAAUGCAACCCAGCUAACAGGAAACAAUUACACAGCGUCGACGGCAUUUUGACAAGGCCGCUGCCAUGUGGUAUUGGUUCGGGGGAAAGGUGUGAGGUGAAAUGGAAGUCAGAUAACGUCAAGAUUUUGUCGACAUGGAUAUGGUUGGUAAGGUUCUGUGGGCUUCCUCGUGCAUAGGGGUGUGAGGUUAGGCACUGUAGGAGAGGACACAAGGCAAGCAAAGGAUAAAACGACAUAAACGACAAGUAAAGCUUUUUGUAAUGAGUCAAGAUUUUGUUGAAUUGAGUAUGGAUAGUAAGGUUCUGUGUGGUUCCUCGCGCAUAGGGGUGUGAGGUUAGGCACUGUAGGAGAGGACGCAAGGCAGGCAAAGGAUAAAACGACAUAAACGACAAGUAAAGCUUUUUGUAAUGAGUCAAGAUUUUGUUGAAUUGAGUAUGGCUAGUAAGGUUCUGUGUGCUUCCUCGUGCAUAGGGGUGUGAGGUUAGGCACUGUAGGAGAGGACACAAGGCAAGCAAAGGGUAAAAUGACGGAGAAACGACAAGUAAAGGUUUUUUCGUUGCGAGUCGGGAAUUUUUCAAUGUCAGAUAUCGAUUAGUAAAGGUUCGAUUUGCCUCCUCGGAACAUAAGGGAGACAGAGAGAGAGAGAGGUAGAGAGCAAGCGAGGACAAUCACCGAGGACAUUCCUAGGACAAGGGGGCCGUCAUGCCGUGUGCGAGCCUCCCGUCAUAACGUACGUAGCUUAAAACCGAGCAUUGAUUUAUUAGGACAGAACUACCCACAGAUUCUAUUUACCAUUGUUGACCCAGUGCUGCAGAUACUAUGGAAAUACUACUAAUAAUGUUUUGGUAUCAGUGUUUAUUUUUCUAGAGCUUAUUCGGUUUAAGAGGAGCGUGUUAUGCAAUGGGCGAGGGACGCUAGCCUAGUACUACUCCUGGGUGUUAGGGAGCGCGUUUUACAUUCUACGGUGAUUUAGCGUUAGCGGAUUCCAUUUUUCAACUGUUAGUUUAGUUUGUAUGACGUAUAACACUGACCCCCAAGCCCCAACACGGUCGCUAAGUCACAGAGAGGUCCGCAGCGAGGGAAAUACAAGACUGACGUGAUGUGGGCAGACGGCAUCGCUCCGCCGCCACCCGAUUCAUAAUAUCUAAGGACCGUCUUUUUGGCUUAGCCCCUUCGACCAUCGGUUUACCCGUUCAUGCCUCCCCCCCCUUCCCCCCUCCCCCCGUUGUCAGACUUUAAAAUUAUAAAUGAUAUAUAAGUUAAUAAAACAAAAACAUUUAUUAGACUUUUGAUUUUGUGUGUGUAUCCUUAUGGGUGAUGUUUGCCUGUGUGUGUGUGUGUGUGUGUGUGUUUGCGUAGUUGUAGUUUUACGGGGCCUGGGCUUACGCUCGUGUGGUCCCGUCUCCAUAUCUACAUUUAUCCAACUUUUCCUUAAAGCUUUGCACACUCCUCACCAAUACUACAUCCUCACUCAGUCUGUUCCAAACCUCUAUAUUUCUUUGUGUGUGUGUGUGUGUGUGUGUGUGUGUGUGCUGUAUUAAGUUUAAGAGACAGGUUUUCAUUCUUUUCCACCACUCAAAAUUUUAAGCCCAGCCAUUGAACAAGCUCACGUUGACAAAGGAACAGGUCACAGGAUUUCUUUACGUAGGAGAUUGAUGGCGGACGAAGAUUCAACACUCCCUUAUGUAGCAAAGUUGGCAGUGGCUGAAGACUACAUACAGCAUUGAUUCCUUUAUGUAGCCAGGUUAACAAAUGAAGACACAACAUUCCUUUAACUAUUUCCUUUAGUCAGCGAAGAAUACUGAGAAAACGUGACACUUCCUUUUUGUAGCGAAGUUAACAGCAAAAAAAACAACAGGAUUCCUUUAUGUAGCCAGGUUAACAAAUGAAGACAGAACAUUCCUUUAACUAUUUCCUUUAGUCAGCGAAGAAUAUUGAGAAAACGGGACUUCCUUUUUGUAGCGAAGUUAACAGCAAAAAAAACAACAGGAUUCCUUUAUGUAGCCAGGUUAACAAAUGAAUACACAACAUUCCUUUAACUAUUUCCUUUAGUCAGCGAAGAAUAUUGAGAAAACGUGAGACUUCCUCUUUGUAGCGAAGUUAACAGCAAGAAACAACAGGAUUCCUUUAUGUAGCCAGUUUAACAAAUGAAGACACAACAUUCCUUUAACUAUUUCCUUUAGUCACCGAAGAAUAUUGAGAAAACGUGAGACUUCCUUUUUGUAGCGAAUUUAACAGCAAAGAAACAACAAGAUUCCUUUAUGUAGCCAGGUUAACAAAUGAAGACAACAUUCCUUUAACUAUUUCCUUUAGUCAGCGAAGAAUAUUGAGAAAACGUGACUUCCUUUUUGUAGCGAAGUUAACAGCAAAAAAAAUAACAGGAUUCCUUUAUGUAGCCAGUUUAACAAAUGAAGACAACAUUCCUUUAACUAUUUCCUUUAGUCACCGAAGAAUACUGAGAAAAUGUGAGACUUCCUUUUUGUAGCCAAGUUAACAGCAAAAAAACAACAAGAUUCCUUUAUGUAGCCAGUUUAACAAAUGAAGACACAACAUUCCUUUAACUAUUUCCUUUAGUCAGCGAAGAAUAUUGAGAAAACGUGAGACUUCCUUUUUGUAGCGAAUUUAACAGCAAAGAAACAACAGGAUUCCUUUAUGUAACCUUACCUUCACCAAAACAUUUAAUAGACCUUUGAUUUUAUCUCUGGAAUGGAAAUACAGACAGAAAUAGUAAUGUUUAUGUUGGUUGUUGCAUUCAUAAACAAGAGAAUAAUGGCACCUUUGUAGAUAAGGACCCAACCUGUGGCCUGUAGAAUCUUAACCCGGUAGCAGCAGGGAUCAUGUUUCUUAAUGGUCCCUCCGAGCGAGAAAAAUGAGAAAAAAUCACCCCUCACACAAACCAUUUCAUAAUAUAUAAACGCAUUUGUGAUCACUUUAUGCAUCAUCUAUUUUGGGGGGGUUUAUAUCAUGGCACAAAUUUGGCCCGUCGCUGCUACACGGUAAAGCCUCAAAUUUGGCCCGUCGCUGCUACCGGGUUAAGAUAGCCUACUAGUUCUAAUCCUGAUUGCAGUGGCGUCCCUGUACUGUAGAGGUGGCAACAGUGAUGGUAACUUAUGGAAUGGCUAACGAUCUUUUAAAACAGGUAGUGCUGGCUGUUGUAUAAAUCCUCCAUCUAGCUCCCUGGUAAGUACUUUUGCCUUGCUUGUUGUUUGCACUAAAAUAAAACUGUUUGGUGACGUAUUGAGAGAGAGAGAUCACUUGCUUCAGUCGCGCAAGGCUUCAUAUGCAUGGUGUCAGCUCGAGUGUUCUUCAAGUGCCUGAUGCUUGGAAAUGUUAGCCUGUUGAAAUGGAUUAUAAAGUGUGGCAGUGAUAGCUUGUGGUCAUGUUAACUUGUUUUGGUCUGAGUCUUGGCAAUAUUGUGUGAGUUACGGAGAGAGUUUGCAUCACUUAAAGAGUUUGUUUGCCUCUUCCUCUUGCACUAAUCCGCCUCGUACUUAAUCUGACUUAGAGAGUAAAGAGAUAAAUAAAAAGUUAAUUAUUGUAUAUAUGAAAGAGGUUAAAUAAGGAGGUUAAAUUUGAUGUUUCUAGGGAAUAUAUUUUAAUCCAGGGUCAAAAUUCUUAUAGUAAAUUGAUGUGACUUUACUUAUAUAAUUUUCUUAUUAUUAUUUUGAAAGCGUUAAGUGAAGAAUCAUCAUUUACGAUUCCGUUACGAUUUUAUUAAAGUUACGGAUGAAAAAAAUUUAAAUAGAAAUGACUAACAAAUUUUAAUAACGAUAACAUGAUAAUAAUAACAACAAUAAUAAUAAUAAAUUCUAAUAAUGGUUUCUAGGUUCCAGAGAAUUACACACACACACACACACACACACACACACACACACACACACACACACACACACAGCAAUAAACGCGUGAAAUAUAUUGAAGGAAAAUGUCGUAAUAGUAGAAAGUAUCGAACAGUUUACACAAAGAACGAAAAACUAUACAUAUUUAAACUGAACCUCACGACUGCACCACACGCCCUGUAUACACACACACACACACACACACACACACACACAUACACAGCAAUAGACGCAUGAAAUAGAUUGACGGAAAAUGUCGUAAUAGUAGAAAGUAUCGAACAGUUUACACAAAGACCGACAAGCUAUACAUACUUAAACAGGACCAGAAGACUGCACCACACACCCUGUAUACACACACUACACACACACAUACACACACACAGAAAUAGACGCAUGAAAUAGAUUGACGGAAAAUGUCGUAAUGGUAGAAAGUAUCGAACAGUUUACACAAAGACCGAAGAACUAUACAUAUUUAAACUGAACCUCACGACUGCACCACACGCCCUGUAUACACACACACACACACACACACACACACACACACACACAGCAAUAGACGCAUGAAAUAGAAUGACGGAAAAUGUCGUAAUGGUAGAAAGUAUUGAACAGUUUACACAAAGACCGAAGAACUAUACAUAUUUAAACAGAACCACAAGACUGCACCUUGUAUACAAACACACACACACACACACACACACACACACACACACACACACACACAGCAAUAGACGCAUGAAAUAUAUUGAAGGAAAAUCUCGUAAUGGUAGAAAGUAUCGAACAGUUUACACAAAGACCGACAAACUAUACAUACAGGACCACAAGACAGCACCACACACCCUGUAUACAAACACACACACACACACACACACACACACACACACACAUACGUAACUAAUCCCCACCUCGUAUUUCAGCGCCACCGAAAGGACGUCAGCAACUUCGACAAGCAGUUCACGUCGGAGCGCACGGAACUCACCCCAACGGACAAGCUCUUCAUGAUGAACAUCGAACAGACCGAGUUCUCCGGCUUCUCCUUCCUCAACCCCGAGUUCAUCCAGCAUGUGUAAAGCCGGUCAGCCAGUCAGCCAGUCGGUCAGUCAGUUGUAUAAAGCCAGUCGAAUGUGUAUAAGGCUUGUGGUGAUUUUGAGAUGAGUGUGCGUGUGUGUGUGUGCGUGUGUGUGUGUGUGUGUGUGGGUGUGAUUUUCCAUUCUGUCCCAUGUCACUGUUUCACUUGUUAGUAAGGCGUAUAUGUGUGUGUGCGUUUGUGUGCGUGUAAGUGUGUGUGUGUGUGUGUGUGUGUUUUGAUUUCCCAGUCUGUCUUAUGUCUGUUUCUUAGUUAUGUUUCAUUUGGGAGUAUGACGAGUGUGUGUGUGUGUGUGUGUGUGUGUAUGCAAGUGUGUGUGUGUGUGUGUGUGUUUUAAUUUCCCAUCUGUCCUACGUUCCAGUUUCUUCAUCUGGUUUGUGUGUGUGUGCGUGUGUGUUUCUGUGUGCGUGUGUGCGUUUUUCCACUGCCCUUACGAGCCUGUCACUUGUUACUCUCUCACCGUGUCGGCUUGUCUGUACGAUACUCUACGUGUGUUCCUCCGAAGGUAUAUCAAAAGGGCGCCGCAAACCCCACAGUGUUCCGAGCGGCGUCGUAGCGUAACCUAGACUCAUAAACGUACGUAAUUUCCAAACAUUUUUCCGCCACUACCCGAAUGCCGGACCGUCAGACAAACACCUCGGACACUGUAGCAUUAGCGUAAAUUAAAACGUCACGCUGCGUUCGUCUGGCAGUUCGGACAUUCGCAAACCUCGUAUAAUCAUUUCCGAAGUAAUAAGUCUUGUUGAACCUGAUUUCCCCGUAGUGUUAAGGUUACGUAUUGAAGUCUGUCAUUUGUUCCUGUAGCGUAAGAGACCUAGUGUUUCCUUUAUAUCUAUUUAUUAUACCUGAGCUUACAAUGAGGGUACUACUAAUAUAUGUGUGUAUAGAUCGGUCGGUAUUUCGCAUUCCGAUUAUGGUAGACGUCAUCCCUCGUAGUUACAAGUGUUUGGAGGAGGUGCGUGAAGGCUGCUUGUGGAGAGAUCAUAAACUCCACUAUACUCCACAGAACCGAAGACUCCAUGAUAGUAUUCCCUCUGCGUGUGUGUGUGUGUGUGUGUGUGUGUGUGAGAUAGAGAGAGGUUAGUUUCUGGUUCUCAUAUGUACUCUGUGAAUGGAUCUAACUCCCUGAAGCCUUUCAUAAUAGGAUUGAACUCUUCAAUCCUCUUCGUUCCUUACGACAGAAGUCAAAUACUCUUGAAACCUCUUAUAGCAGGUUCCAACUCUAUUCCUCUAUCCCUGAACCCUUUUGUAAUAGGAUUGAACUCUUUAAUCCUUUCUGUUCCUUACAACAGAAGCCAAAUACUCUUGAAAUGUCUUAUAGCAGGUUCAAACUCUAUUCCUCUAUCUCUGAAGUCUUUCAUAACUGGUUUGAACUCUAACUUCUUCUUUCCUUACAACAGAAGCCAAAUAGUACUCGAACCUCUUAUAGCAGGUUCUGAUUCUUUCCUUCCUUUUCCAACACUAAGAGUCAAUUCCAGAAGCCUUUCAUAAUAGGUUUGAACUCUUUAAUCCUCUUCAUUCCUUACGAGAGAAGCCAAAUAGUACUCGAACCUCUUACAGUAGGUUCCAACUCUAUCCUUCCUUCUCCCAAUACUAAGAGUCAAUUUCCAAAGCCUCUCAUAGUAGGUUUGAACUCUUUAAUCUUCUUCAUUCCUUAUGCUAGAAGCCAAAUACUCUUGAAACCUCUUAAAACAGGUUCCAACUCUAUCCUUCCUUUUCCCAACACUAAGAGUCAAUUCCAGAAGCCUUUCAUAAUAGGUUUGAACUCUUUAAUCUUCUUCAUUCCUUACGACAGAAGCCAAAUAGUACUCGAACCUCUUAUAGUGGGUUCUAACUCUAUCCUUCCUUUUCCCAAUACUAAGAGUCAAUUUCCAAAGCCUGUCAUAAUAGGUUCAAACUCUUUAAUCCUCUUCAUUCCAUACGACAGAAGCCAAAUAGUACUUGAAACCUCUUAUAGCAGGUUCAAACUCUAUUUCCUCCUUUUCCCAACACUAAGAGUCAAUUCCAGAAGCCUUUCAUAAUAGGUUUGAACUCUUUAAUCUUCUUCAUUCCAUACGACAGAAGCCAAAUAGUACUCGAACCUCUUAUAGUGGGUUCUAACUCUAUCCUUCCUUUUCCCAACACUAAGAGUCAAUUCCAGAAGCCUUUCAUAAUAGGUUUGAACUCUUUAAUCUUCUCCAUUCCAUACGACAGAAGCCAAAUAGCACUCGAAACCCCUUACAGUAGGUUCCAACUCUAUCUUUCCCUCCGUGAUCCUAAGAGUCGAUUCCAAACGGCUUUUAUAACAGUCUUUCCCCUCUAUCUCAAUCCCUUUUUUUCCGACACCAUGAACUAAGUGAAGGAAGGUCAGGGCGCUACUGUGACUGCCCAGAAAGGUGGAUUUGACGCAUGUGGUUCACGUCAAUCGCCCUUACGUAGCGAAAUAUCAAAAUGUGUUCUGUGGCGAGUGUCCGAGUGCGAUAAUCCAAAGCUGUCUACCAAAGGAUGUGUGUUUUCGAGUGUGUGUGUGUGUGUGUGUGUGUGUGUGUGUGUGUUUCCAUGAUGAAGUAGAUUAUAAGGAAGUGUGUGUGUGUGUGUGUGUGUUUGUGCGUGUAGGGUUUAGGUAAGAAGAGGAAAGUGUGUGUGUGUGUGUGUGUGUGUGUGUGUGUGUGUGUUUCACUAAUAAUAAUAAUAAUGAUGAUGAGAGAUUAAUAUGUUUAUAAUUAUAGUAUUUGCUAAAACUGUAGGAUUCGUUACUUUUAUCAUUAGUGAAUUCAAACUAGAAGACUCAUAUUUUUCCCUCAUUAGUGAAUUAAAAAAGUGAGAUUUCUUUGUUUCCGUAAUUAGUAGGAUUUGUUAAUUAUGUCAUCCUUGAAUUCAAACUAGAAGACUCAUAUUUUUCCCUCAUUAGUGAAUUAAAAAAAUGCGAUUUCUUUGUUUCCGUAAUUAGUAGGAUUUGUUAAUUAUGUCAUCCUUGAAUUCAAACUGUCGGCUUAAUCUUGUUUCCCUCAUUAGUGAAUUAAAAAAAGUGAGAUUUCUUUGUUUCCGUAAUUAGUAGGAUUUGUUAAUUAUGUCAUCCUUGAAUUCAAACUGUAGGCUUAAUCUUGUUUCCCUCAUCAGUGAUUUCAGAAUAUGAGAUUGAUUUGUUUCUCCUCAACGCGUUCAAAAACUAAACCCGCACUAAAGUCUUUCCGAUAGAGAUUUAUGAGAGGUCUUAAAGUAUUCAGCAUUCCUAGUCAAAUGAGAAACUAUUUUAUUUAUUUAUCUAUUUUAUUUUCAUUUUUAUUAUAAUUAUUCUUUUGUCUCGCGCUAAAGUCUUUCCGAUAGAGAUUUACGAGAGGUCUAAAGUAUUGGGCAUUCCUAGUCAAAUGAGAAACUAUUUUAUUUAUUUAUUUAUUUUAUUUCCAUUUUUAUUAUAAUUGUUUUUUGUCUCGUGCUAAAAGUCUUUCCAAUAGAGGUUUACGAGAGAUGGAAGAGUAUUUUUAAUUGUUAGUCAACUGAGAGCCUUUUAUUUUUUAUUAUUUGUUUUUGUCUCCGUGCUAAAAGUCUUUCCGAUAGAGGUUUACGAGAGAUGGAAGAGUAUUUAUAAUUGUUAGUCAACUGAGAACCUUUUAUUUUUUAUUAUUUGUUUUUGUCUCCAUGCUAAAAGUCUUUCCGAUAGAGAUAUACGAGAGGUCUUAAAGUAUUCGGCAAUGCUAGUCAAAUGAGAAGCUAUUUUAUUUAUUUUUUUCAUUUUUUUUUAUAUAGGCUAUUUAUUUAUCUAUUUUUGUCUCAGUGCUAAAAGUCUUUCCGAUAGAGAUUUAUGAGAGAUCUCAAAGUAUUCGGCAUUGCUAGUCAAAUGAGAAGCUAUUUUUUAUUUAUUUGUUUAACUUUUUCAUAUUUAUCUUUUUUUUGUUGUUUUUUGUCCCUAGUGCUUAAAGUCUUUCCGAUAGAGAUUUACGAGAGAUGAUCAAGUAUUCGGAAUUUCUAGUCACAUGAGAAACCUAUACAUUUAUAUUAUUUUUCAUUUAUUAUUUAUUCAUUAUUAUUAUUAUUAUUAUUUCUCUAGUCAUCAGAUCAUGGUCACUAUUAGGCUAGUUAGCGCUAUGUUGUAUUCUUGUUUGUUUUUUUAUUUGCCGAAUCAAAUAGAAAAAAAUACACUGACACUCUCGUAAUAGAAUAAUCAUCCAUCAAAACCAUUAUAGACACUUUUCUAACCUCUAAAAAUAUGUACAAUUAGACCAAACACCUUUAGUUAAAAAAUCUAGAAAAAGCUAAAAAGAAUAAACGCUAGAACCAUCAUCAUUAGUAGCAGGAACUCAUCUCGUAGGGUUGGCAACACUGUCUAGGGAAACUCUCCUCAUAGGGUUGGCAGUACUGUCUUGGGAAACUCCUUAUAGGGUUGGCAACACUGUCUAGGGAAACUCUUUUUAGGGUUGGUAGCACUGUCUAGGGAAUUUGCCUGAUAGGGUUGGCAACACUGUCUAGGGAAACUCUCCUCAUAGGGUUGGCAGUACUGUCUAGGGAACUCUCCUGAUAGGGUUGGUAACAUUGUCUAUGGGAACUCUUUGUAGGGUUGGCAGUACUGUCUAGGGAAUUUUUUUGAUAGGGUUGAUAACACUGUCUAGGGGAACACUUUGUAGGGUUGGCAGCACUGUCUAGGGAAUUACGUAUCAAGGUUUUGCAUUCUUUGUUACGUACAACAUCUAAGUGUAUAUUCAAAGUCAUGAGUGUGUGUGCGUAUGUACGUUUAAGUGUGUGUGUGUGUGUGUGUGUGUGUGUGUGCGAAUCUGUGUUUGCCAUGCGUGUGUGUCUAUAUGUAUGUAUGAGUAACUGUGUGUGUGUGUGUGUGUCUGUAUAAGUGAGUGUAUGUAUGUGUGUGUGUGUGUGUGUGCGUAACGAAUUGAGAUUAGGCAAAGUUGAAUAUUUAGUUUUAUGGGUACGACGACACUUGUCUGCGCACCUUAUGACCCCCACACACACCUAGGCCUCACUUGGGUGUGGAGCGGGUGUGGACAGGUGACGCACAUUAGCUAGCUGUACAGGUGUGAGACCCAGCAUUCUGCCACCUCACCAACCCUAUACAAAACAAGUAACAAUAACAAAUUCAAUAUACGUAAUACCAAAAAAACAAAUCGACAAAAUCCAGUUCUGUAUUCCUUUUUUUACAUGAGAAUAUUAAGUUAACGCGAAUCGAUUUAAAAGACAUUUGAUCUCACGUUGAAUUUUCAGUCAUGAGAGUAUUGUGUUGGUUAAUGAUUCCAGUCAGGUCAGAUCAGGUCAGGUCAGGCGGCAGAAUCACUUCGUCUCGUUUAUCGCGUAACAUUUUUUGGUCUUUUUUUUCCGUCGUUUAUGGAGCGUUUGGGGUCAAGAGUACGACCCUCAAACCUCGCCUCCAGCAACAUCUGUGACCUGUGUGUGUGUGUGUACGCCCGAGAGUGUCUGUCUGUAUGUGCACGUCAACAAAGGCUCAUGUACGUAUAUAUAUAUAUGUGUACCAACUCUCUAUGUGUGUACGACUCAAGGAUUUUCCAGCUCCAGGUGAUAAUGUUAUGUCAAUGUGUGUUCAAUUUCUGACGUUUAUACUCGGGUGAGGAUGCGAUUCUCUUCUGUCGCUUAUGAAUUGAGCUGUGUGUGUGUGUGUGUGUGUGUGUGUAGGUUAUCGUAGUCCUAAACAGCUGUGUGUGUGUGUGUGUGUGUGUGUGUGUGUGUGUGUGUGUGUGUUAAUUUAGUCCUAUACGGAGGUGCAAGUUGAAGAGCGUAAGAUAAAUAGGAUGUAAGAGCAUAGUAUUCGAUUAAGUAUGUCUUCAGUCUGCGCCUCAGAGAAGGGAAUCGAAGAAGAAGGAGGAGGAGGUUCAUUGUGUCUCUCUCGCCUCGUGUCGUCACUCCAUCACUCACUCUUAAACUCGACGUAAUCGCGUGCUCCUCCGAUAACGAAGUGUAUAUUAUGACCUAACCGUAGCCUAACCGUAGCCUAAGGAACUCCAAAACCUUCUCCUGUAUAGACAAAAAAAAAACAAGUAUUAUGUGUAUGUCAACUUUUUAUAUAUGUCGAGAUACGGAUUUCCGCUACUACUACUACGACUACUACUACUACUACUAUUACUACUACUACGACUGCUUAUUACGUGUUACAGCGACUUCCAAUACAUGUUCGUCGUGUUACCACCUCGAUUCCACCCCUCCGAACAUUGCAAUAAGACCCCUUGAACCCCAAACUCCCCUAAGAUAUUCCAAUUCCUUUUUCCCGCCAAAAUACCGACGUAGCGAAAUGCGUAACGUAGCUUCCUUAGACUUUCCCGCGGUGCAAAAGGUCCCUCGUUGUGGUGUUUCGUGCGUCGGUAACGUUCCAGUCACGAAACAUUACAAUAACACUACGAAAACCCCGAACAAUCCUUUUCCCGCCAAAUUCUAAGUUAGCGAAAUGCAUAACGUAGCUUCCUUAGACUUUCCCGCGGUGCAAAAGGUCCCUCGUUGUGGUGUUCCGUGUUCCAGUCACGAAACUAUAGAAUAACACCCCGAAAUCCACCAAAACCCCGAACAAUCCUUUUCCCGCCAAAUUCUGAGGUAGCGAAAUGCAUAACGUAGCUUCCUUAGACUUUCUAGCGGUGCAAAAGGUCCCGUAAUGUGGUUUUCCGUGUUCCAGUCACAUUCCAGUCACGAAACUAUAGAAUAACACCCCGAAAAACACCACAACCCCAAACAAUCCUUUUCCCGUCAAAUUCUAAGUUAGCGAAAUGCGUAACGUAGCUUCCUUAGACUUUCCCGCGGUGCAAAAGGUCCCUCGUUGUGGUGUUCCGUGUUACAGUCACGAAACUAUAGAAUAACACCCCGAAAAAUACCACACCCCCAAACAAUCCUUUUUCCGCCAAAUUCUAAGUUAGCGAAAUGCGUAACGUAGCUUCCUUAGACUUUCCCGCGGUGCAAAAGGUCCCUCGUUGUGGUGUUCCGUGUUCCAGUCACGAAACUAUAGAAUAACACCCCGAAAUCCACCAAAACCCCAAAACAAUCCUUUUCCCGCCAAAUUCUGAGGUAGCGAAAUGCGUAACGUAGCUUCCCUAGACUUUUCCCCGCGGUGCAAAUGGUCCCGUAUCGUUGUGGUGUCAUUCCGUGUUCCGAUCAUGUUCCAGUCACGUUCCAGUCAUGUUCCAGUCGCGUUCAGUCACGUACGUUCGCUCUGCAGAGGGAGAAGCGUAAUUACACAAUCCAGUGCUGUAGGUGGGGUGGGGACGGCCGCGGGUGCUCACUGUGCUGCCCUCGUGCUUUGUGGGGGUCGUUGUGCGUUGUCUGUUGUUACGGGAAGACUUUUUUUUAUAUUUUCACAACAAAGGAGACGGCUCAAGGGCAACAAAAGGAGUGUAGAGAAAAAUGCCCGCUACUCACCGCUCCCAUAACAGACAAAAGUAAAGAGUGCCCAAAGGAGAGGUCAAUUUCGGGUGAAGGGGUCAAUUUCGGGUGGGAGGAAAAGAAGAAAAGAGAGAAUUAAACAGAAAUAAGAAGACUAGCAGAGAGAGAAGAGAAGAAAACAGUGAAGACAGGAAUAAUAGGAGAGAAGGAAAGGGAGAUAGAAGAGAACGAAUGGAUAAGAAGAGAGACAAGGAAAGCAAGGAGAAGAAAAACAUGGAUUAGAAGAACAGAAAACAUAGAUAAAACAGACAUAGAAAGAGAGAAGAAUAAAAGAGAUGAUGUAAACAAGGAGAGGAAGAGAAGGAGUUGAAAGGAGACCAAAGAAGAGAAGAAUAGAGAAGAAAAGAAGAAAUGGAAUGCAAGAAAAUCAACAAAAGAACAUGAGAAAAAAGAACCCCAAAACAAACGAUGGCUGAAAGGAUAGCGUGACGGCGCCGCGUUCAGGAGGACGCGAGUUCAAUCCCCGCCCGGUGCCACCAAGCUGGGAUUUUUCAGCCGCCGCCGAGUGGAUUCAAACUAUCCACAUGCUGUCCAGAAGACCACCUAUCAACCCGGACUCUAGAUUCUAGGAUUAAAAAUGAGCUCCGGGUGGACAGCACGAGCCAAUGCAAGAUGGCGCCACUAUAAACACUCGCCUGCGCCAGGACGGGCUGGGCCGACCAUCAGGACCCACCGGGAAGAAGCCUACCGGCGCAAUAGGCCACGACGUCAAAAAAAAAAAAAAAAGGAGUGCAGAGCUAAGGUUACAGUGCCACCAAAGGGUCAGGUCAUCUAAGGGCGGGAGCAGCACAAGGGCGCCCCACAGCAGGCCGUCCACACCCAGUCACUAGCCCUUCCCACCCUUGCCCACCGGAGGGACAAGGCGCCAGAACACCCUUAGACCCAUCACCCUUAAUUUCACCCUUUAUCCUUUCCCGCCAACGUUGCCAAGUUAUCGUACUCAGAACAUCGCAAUUACCGAAACUUUUCUACCCACACAGAUAACGAGAUUCCAGUUAAAGUUAUCGUUACAAUCAUUACUUAUUGGCGUCUGUUUGCGAUAGCUGUGACUCAGAAACCGGAAACUGCGAUGUGCUGAGUGGCUGAGUACGAUAAUGAGUGGCUGACUGCGAUAAUUUGGUAACGCUGCCCCUACGCUCCCUUAACUGAUAAUACUCUAAAUUUUAAAGGUGCGAAAAUGGUUAUAAGUUAAGUUUGUGUCUUUUUAAUGGAAGUAUAAGGUCUUUAAAAGUAUAGACGGACGGAAAGUUAUGUUUGUGUUGGUUUAUGUUACGAGUUAAGUUCGCGUUACCAAAGAGAGAAACCAUGGGACUAUUUUUUGUGCUUAUGUUGCUCAGCUUAGUCAAUUAAGAACCUGUGUAAUACUGUGGGACUUGUUUUGAUUGUUGUAUUCCAUUCUGAUAAGUCAAACGAGAAUCUAUGUUUUAGUGUGCGACAGAUUUUGACAUAUUCCUUUUUUUUAGUCACAUGAGAGUAUAUGUUAUGUUUUGGGACUUGUUUUGAGUGUUUUAUUCCAUUCAUUAGUCAAAGAUAGUCCAAUGUUGUGCUAUGGAAGUAAAAUUAUGUUAUAUUUCAUUCUAUUGAGUCAAACGAGAAUCUAUGUUUUAGUGUGCGACAGAUUUUGACAUAUUCCAUUUUUUUUAGUCACAUGAGAGUAUAUGUUAUGUUUUGGGACUUGCUUUGAGUGUUUUAUUCCAUUCAUUAGUCAAAGAUAGUCCAAUGUUGUGCUAUGGAAGUAAAAUUGUGUUAUAUUUCAUUCUAUUGAGUCAGACGAGAAUCUAUGUUUUAGUGUGAGACAUAUUUCGACAUAUUCCAAUUUUUUUAGUCAAAUGAGAGUAUGUUAUGUUAUGAGACUUAUUUUGAGUGUUUUAUUCCAUUUUAAAGCCAAAUGAGAGCCUAUGUUAUGCGAUGGGAGAUAUUUUGUGUUAUAUUCCAAUUUUUAGUCAAACGAGUCUAUAUUGUUAAGUUUUAUGAGUUUUCCGCACCACCAAAGAGAGAAGGAAGCUAUGGGUGCUUGUAUUCGCUAUGGUAUUUUUCAUUUUAUUUCUAUUUUAUUUUUUUAUUCCAUGACGAGAUGUUAGAUUAUACACGUUUUCGCGCUACCAAAGAGAGAAGGAAACUAUGGGUGCUUGUAUUCGCUAUGUUAUUUUUCAUUUUAUUUCUAUUUUAUUUUUUUAUUCCAUGACGAGAUGUUGGAUUAUACACGUUUUCGCGCUACCAAAGAGAGAAGGAAACUAUGGGUGCUUGUGUUAGCCAUAUGUAAUUUUUUUUUUUUUUUAUUUAUUUAUUUUUUUAUUCCAUGACUGACGAGAUGUUGGAUUAUACACGUUUUCGCGCCACCAAAGAGAGAAGGAAACUAUGAGUGCUUGUGUUAGCCAUAUGUAAUUUUUUUUUUUUAUUUAUUUAUUUUUUUAUUCCAUGACUGACGAGAUGUUGGAUUAUACACGUUUUCGCGCCACCAAAGAGAGAAGGAAACUAUGAGUGCUUGUGUUAGCCAUAUGUAAUUUUUUUUUUUUAUUUAUUUAUUUUUUUAUUCCAUGACUGACGAGAUGUUGGAUUAUACACGUUUUCGCGCCACCAAAGAGAGAAGGAAACUAUGGAAACUAUUUAUUUAUUUAUUUUAAUUUUCCGAGAUGUUAGAUGUUAGAGAGAAGGAAACUAUGAAACUAUUUAUUUAUUUAUUUUAAUUUUCCAAGAUGUUAGAUUAUACACGUUUUCGCGCCACCAAAGAGAGAAGGAAACUAUGGAAACUAUUUAUUUAUUUAUUUUAAUUUUCCGAGAUGUUAGAUGUUAGAGAGAAGGAAACUAUGGAAACUAUUUAUUUAUUUAUUUUAAUUUUCCGAGAUGUUAGAUUAUACACGUUUUUGCGUCACCAAAGAGAAAUGUAACGAUGGGACUAAUUUUGUGUUCUAUAGAGUUCAUGGUCAAUAGAUAUCUGUUAUGUUUUUUUUUCUUGUUUGUCUUUUGUUUUUGUUUUUGAAUGGAAAAAUAUGGAUGUUAAACGACAAUGAUGAUGAUGAUGAUGAUCUUUUGUUUCUCUCUUUUCUUCCUGUUCUUCCCCUUCCUACCCUUCCUUCCCCUCCCUACCCUUCCUUCCCCUUCCUACCCUUCCUUCCCCUUCCUGUUCUUACCCUCCCUACCCUUCCUUCCCCUCCCUACCCUUCCUUCCCCUCCCUACCCUUCCUUUCCCUUCCUGUUCUUCCCCUCCCUACCCUCCCUUCCCCUUACUGUUCUUCCCCUCCCUACCCUUCCUUCCCCUUACUGUUCUUACCCUCCCUACCCUUCCUUCCCCUCCCUACCCUUCCUUCCCCUCCUUACCCUUCCUUCCCCUCCACCCCUCCACUCUGGCCUCUUGUCCCGCCCCUCCCAUAAGACAUAGGCCAUAGAUCCGUAAGCUAACACUCGGAAGAUUCCUUUCCAAUACCUUACGUGUCCUGUUCCUGCGACUGACAGAAACGAUGGUCACAAGAUUGCAGCGACUUAAAUCACAAAGAAAAAGUGUUCAUGAGAGUUCUGAUCAAGUUGUUAAGGCUGUUUCGAUAUGUCAUUCUGGUAGAUUUUCGCCCAUGGAGGAUCAAAAAGUGGUCGACUGUCCAUUUGAAGGUGUCACAAUUAACAGGUUGAAGAUAGAAGACCAAAAAUGCAAGCUGUCACAAACUCACUCUUUCCUUCUUUUCUGCAUCAUUUAUUUUUAUUAAUUUUUUCAAACCUCCUUUUCAUUUCUUCCCUUUUAUCACCUUGUCUCAUUAUUUCCUUCUUUCUUGUAUAGUUUGCCAUUCAUUUUGUAUUCCCUAACUUACAUUUUCCUGUAUUUUCCCCUUAAUUUCUAUUUUUUCUGCAUCAUUCAUCUUUAUUAAUUUUUUCAAACCUCCUUUUCAUUUCUUCCCUUUCAUCACCUUGUCUCAUUCUCUCCUUCUUUCUUGUAUAGUUUGCCAUUCAUUUUGUAUUCCCUAACUUACAUUUUCCCUUAUUUUCCCUUUUAUUUCUAUUCCUUCUCUUCCUUCACUCUCGUCUCAACCCUUCCUCUCCCUCCCUCCCACUUCACGCUGUCACAAUAAACAGGAUCGGAAUAAAACACCAACAAUCCUGCCAUAAGGUGAUCAUCAUUUUUGUCAGUCGCAGGAACGGACAACGGUGAAUGAAUAUUUUUGUAAGCUAUUUUUGUGUAGAGAUUUUCAAAUUUUUAGCCUAGCCGGAGCGACGACGGAACUGUGUGUGUGUGUAAGGGUGGAGACAGUGCCGAGAUCUUUGUUAUAUAUAUGCGUGUGUGUGUGUGUGUGUGUGUGUGUGUGUGGAUCCGACCGCUUGGGGUUACGACAGAGGCCUGCGUUGUUGAGUUUUAGACAUUCCAGAGUUAGCGCAGAAUUUACGAACUUUGUGAUGGUUUGUGUUACGAUUUUAGUCUGCGUUACCAAAGAGAGAAACCAUGGGAUAAUUUUUUGUGCUUGUGUUGCUCAGCUUAGUCAAUUAAGAACCUGUGUAAUACUAUGGGACUUGUUUUGAUUAUUUUAUUCCAUUUAUUAGUCAAAGAUAGUCCUAUGUUGAGCUAUUUAAGAAGUAUUCCAAGAUAUUCCAAUUCCUUCAUUAUUUUUACUGAUGUUAUAUCAUGUGAGAACUCACCUUUUUGUCUCAUUCCUUCCCUUUUCUCAUUAUUAUUAUCAUUAUCUUUUUAUUAUAUUAUAUUGACUCACCAAUACACCAAAGACAAACUAAGCUAUGAAUAUGAGAGAGACAACACAGUAACCUUUCCCAUAGUUUCCCGUUCCAUGUCAUAUUAAACACUUUGCGAUUUCCCUUUAUUAUCAUUAUUAUUAUUAUUUACGCUCCGCCAGGCCAGUCUCGUAACCUCAGGCGUAUAGGGAGUCACACAGAACAUAUACGGACUAAAUUGGAAGUCUGUAUCGAAUUUAAAUAUUGGUGAUUUUUCAUACUCCGAGACUUUGAUCAUUCCAGCAAGUGUGUGUGUGUGUGUGUGUGUGUGUGUGUGUGUGUGUGUGUUUAUUUACCUGUUCUUCACCUCAAUCCUUCCCAUUCUUCCCUUAUUCUUUCCUUCCCUUUCUCUCCCCUCCCUUCCCCUUAAUUUAUUCCCUUUCAUUUCCAUUCCUUACAUUCCUUUACUUUCGUCUCAUCUCUUCCUCUUCCUCCGUUCCUGUGUGUGUGUGUGUGUGUGUGUGUGUGUGUGUGAGAUUACGUACAUGUAUUUACAAUGUAUACAUAUAUAGUGACCCAUGGUGAUAAAAAGAUAUGCUUGGAAAUGUGUUUGAAAAUAAGGAAAUGGAAUAGUCUGUCCUGAAAGUGAGAGAGAGAGAGAGAGAGAGAGAGAGAGAGAGAGAAAACGUGGUCUGUUAGAAGGUAGACUGAAGAAAGAGCAGAGAAAACGGGUACGGUAUGCGAGAGAAAACGAGAGAUUUAGAGGGUCACUAGGGUAAGGUGCAAGAGAAAACGGAGAGAUUUAGAGGGUCACCAUAGUACUUGCGUGUGAUUUAGAGGGUCACUAGGGUAAGGUGCAAGAGAAAACGGAGAGACUUAGAGGGUCACUAUAGUACUUGUGUGUGAUUUAGAGGGUCACUAGGGUAAGGUGCAAGAGAAAACGGAGAGACUUAGAGGGUCACUAUAGUACUUGUGUGUGAUUUAGAGGGUCACUAGGGUAAGGUGUGAGAGAAAACAGAUUUAGAGGGUCACCAUAGUACUUGCGUGUGAUUUAGAGGGUCACUAAGGUAAGGUGCAAGAGAAAACGGAGAGAUUUAGAAGGUCACUUGGGUAAGGUGCAAGAGAAAACGGAGAGACUUAGAGGGUCACUAUAGUACUUGUGUGUGAUUUAGAGGGUCACUAGGGUAAGGUGUGAGAGAAAACAGAUUUAGAGGGUCACUAUAGUACUUGCGUGUGAUUUAGAGGGUCGCUAAGGUAAGGUGCAAGAGAAAACGGAGAGAUUUAGAAGGUCACUAGGGUAAGGUGCAAGAGAAAACGGAGAGACUUAGAGGGUCACUAUAGUACUUGUGUGUGUGUGUGUAUGUGUGUGUGUGUGUUCCCAAAUCAAGGUCCCCAGGAUACCGUUAGCGACGUACCGUUAAGCCAACUAUUCACUCUCUGCCUUGUGUGUAUUUACUGUGUACCUCUGCCAGUCAGUCUCAGUAUUCCUCCGAUAGCGUGCUCGAAGGGAGGCGACACUCUCCACCCCGGUGUUAGUGUAGACCCGAGAGUGUUCCAAGGCCUCUGUAUUACGUAGUGCGGCAGAGCGAUGGAGUAGGGGAGUGUGGGUACCUGAAUCUAAGGCGUCUUGCUCUUUCAAUUCUCUUUCCCUUUAUUUUCUUUCUUUUGAUGUCAUUGUAGUUAUUUAUUUCCUCUUUUUUUUUGUCAUUUGUUAUCUUCGGACUUACUUUAUAAUCACGCAGUCGAAGGAGAGGAAUGGGAAGUGAUGAUUUUAUGUCCCUUUUUGGUUUCGUAGAUGAAUUUUUGUUUCCCUUCCUUAUUUUCUUUCUUUUGAUGUUCUAGUUAAUUAUUUCCUCCUUUUUCUGUAAUUCGGUAUCUUCCUAUUCAGUUUAUUAUCAGGCUGUCAAAGGAGAGGAAAGAGAAGUGUUAAUUUUAUGUCCUAUUCAGUUUCGUAGAUGAAUUUUUUGCUUCCCUUCCUUAUUUUCUUUCUUUUGAUGUUCUAGUUAAUUAUUUCCUCCUUUUUCUGUAAUUCGGUAUCUUCCUAUUCAGUUUAUUAUCAGGCUGUCAAAGGAGAGGAAUGGGAAGUGAUGAUUUUAUGUCCCUUUUUGGUUUCGUAGAUGAAUUUUUGUUUCCAUUCCUUAUUUUCUUUCUUUUGAUUUUCCAGUUUGUGUUUUCUCCUUUUUUUCUGUCAUUCAUUAUCUCCACUUUUUUUCAUUCUCUUCCCUUUCUUCCUUUCUUUCUUAUAAUGUCAUUCCUAUACGUGUUUUCCUUCCUUCCCCAUUCUCUUUCUUUUCCUUCCUUCUUUUCCCUUCCUUUCAUUCUCUUCCCUUUCUACCUUUUCCUUCCUUAUAAUGUCAUUCCAAUUCGCAUUUUCCUCCCUUCCCUAUUUCUUCUCUUUCCUUCCCUUGCUUCUCUGUAUCCCUUUUGCCUUCCUGUCUUCUUUUCCAUCCCUGUUUUUCCUCCUCUCUCCCUUUUUUUUCCUUUUAAUGUCAUUCUAAUAAGUCUUUUCCUCCUUUUCCACUCAUUGAUUAUCUUCCAUUUCUUUCCUUGGUGGUAACGGUCAACUUGAAUUCCGAGCGGAUCUUUCUGUAACAAAACAACGCCUCUUAUUAGGGUAACCACGCUCCCCUAAUCUACGACUCUGGUUCGACUGCCUCAAGCCCAACCAUCGCUCCUGUUUCCCUUCAUUCCGUAAGUGUAUUCCGAGGUUUAGCCCUUCCGUGGGUGGUUACUUUACACUGGUUUAGGAAUAGGUAUGUCCUCACCCUCUUCCGCCAUGCUGGGAAAGGUAAUGGUGUCAGCGGUGGUGGUGGUGGUGGUGGUGAUGUUUAACAAGGAUUUUUCAGACUCCGUGGUGUUGAUAAGAAGUGUUUCCAUGAUGUAAUUCCUUAACUUGUUGGUUGGGAUGUUUUUCGAGAUAGUUUAUACACGUGUUGCUCUGGGCUUGUUUUUCGUUGCUGUGUUGUCGAAGAGAAGGAUGAACGGUGGUGUCUUGCUGUGUUGCGGGUAUUGAGUUUGAGGAUGUUUAAGAAGAGGUGAAAUCAUGCUUUGUUUGUUGAAUAUCAGUCACUCGAAAGGAAAGUAGAGAGAGAAAAAAGUAAUAAUUAUAAUCUUUUGCCGUGUUUUGAGUACUGAAGGAUUGUUGAAGUGAGUUUGAGAAUAGUUAAAAAAAGAGGUGAAAUUAGGCUUUGUUUUAUUUGCUAUCACUCAGGCGAAAGGAAAGUAAAGAGAGAAAGAGAUGAAAAUUAUAAUCUUUUCCUGUGUUCCGAGUAUUAGUGGACCGCUGAAGUUAAUUUGAGAAGAGUUAAGAAAGAGGAGACGUAAUGUAAGACCCUGUUUUGUUUAAUAUAUCACUCGAUCAAAAGAUAAAUUAAGAAGAUAGAAAAGAGUUGAAAUCAUAAUCGUUUGCUGUGUUCCGAGUAUUAGUGGACCGCUGAAGUUAAUUUGAGAAGAGUUAAGAAAGAGAAGUAAUGUAAGACCCUGUUUUGUUUAAUAUAUCACUCGGUCAAAAGAUAAAUUAAGAAGAUAGAAAAGAGUUGAAAUCAUAAUCGUUUGCUAUGUUCCGAGUAUUAGUGGACCGCUGAAGUUAAUUUGAGAAGAGUUAAGAAAGAGGAGAAGUAAUGUAUGACCCUGUUUUGUUAAAUAUAUCACUUGGUCAAAAGAGAAAUAAGGAGAUAGAAAAAGAGUUGAAAUUAUAAGCGUUUGCUGUGUUCCGAGUAUUAGUGGACCGCUGAAGUGAAUUUGAGAAGAGUUAAGAAAGAGAAGUAAUGUAAGACCCUGUUUUGUUUAAUAUAUCACUCGGUCAAAAGAUAAAUUAAGAAGAUAGAAAAGAGUUGAAAUCAUAAUCGUUUGCUGUGUUCCAAGUAUUAGUGGACCGCUGAAGUGAAUUUGAGAAGAGUUAAGAAAGAGAAGUAAUGUAUGACCCUGUUUUGUUUAAUAUAUCACUUGGUCGAAAGAGAAAUAAGGAGCUAGAAAAAGAGUUGAAAUUAUAAGCGUUUGCUGUGUUCCGAGCGUUCGUGGGUUGGUGAAUUGAGUUUGAGGAUAGUUACAAAGAAGGAGAUUAAUACAUGACCCUGUUCUGUUUAAUAUAUCACUCAGUCCAAAGAAAACUAAGCGAGAAAAAGGGAAUAACUAUAAUCUUUUGCUGCGUUUCAAGUGUUGGUGCGUUGCUGAAGUGAGUUUGCAGAAGAGAAAAGAGAUGAUAAAGUUCACCUGUUCUGCUCAAUAUAACUCAGUCGAAUGAGAAGAGAAACGAAGAGAUAAUUUUGUCUCACGCGUUUGAUUACUAAGUUGAAAGAGAAGAGCGAGGAAUGAAAAAAAAUGAAGUGAUUGCGUCUUUUUCUGUUUAUUAAAAAGUCGAAAGCAGAGAAGAUUAAAAAGAGACUAGCAGGGGCGUGUGCUGAGUUCAGAAGAGUGUGGAAAUUUGAUAUCCUUUUUUGUUUAGUAAGAAAGAAGUAAGAGUAGGAAAUAUAGGUGUAAGAAGAAGGAAAGAAGGAAAUAAAGGAGGAAAGCAAGAAAGAAUAAAUGAAAGCAGAGGCAGGAAAACAAGUAAACAAGAAAGAAUAUAUAAGUGAAAGAAGAAAUUGGAAAACAGGAAAGAAGAAAAGCUGGAAACAUAAGUGAAGGAAAAAGAAUAAAGCAGAAAAUGAAAGAAGAAAGCAGAUGAAAGAAGGAACAGGAACACGGGGAAGAAUAAAUGAAAGAAAGAAGGAAAAGUUGAAAAUAUAAGCAAAAGAAGAAGUGAAAGGAGGACGUAGGAGAGACGAAAGAAGAACCAGGAAAGAAUAAACGUAAGAAAGAAAAAAGGAGAAACAGAAAAUAUAAGCGAAAGAAAGAAAGAAAGAAAGAAUUACCAACCCUUCAUUUCUCGUUCUGUACAAACCACUCCAAGCUCGAUCCCGUUCAUGUACGUCAUACCACAUAUAAUAAUAAUAAUAAUAAUAAUAAUAAUAAUAAUGCUAUGAUAGGCAGUCCAGGUGGUGUGUGACUUGGCAUAUUCCCAGUCUUCUAUAUUACGUCUGUACGCGUGACAACAAUAUUAACAUGUGAUUCGAUGUGUGUUUCAAACUCAUUAUGCAAACAGUUAAGUAAUUACUACAACCUAUGAUAUAAUGUAAAUAAACUUUCAAAUACCUCCA